rnacentral:rRNA from 1 species
UACGAAGGGGGCUAGCGUUGCUCGGAAUCACUGGGCGUAAAGGGUGCGUAGGCGGGUCUUUAAGUCAGGGGUGAAAUCCUGGAGCUCAACUCCAGAACUGCCUUUGAUACUGAGAGCCUUGAGUUCGGGAGAGGUGAGUGGAACUGCGAGUGUAGAGGUGAAAUUCGUAGAUAUUCGCAAGAACACCAGUGGCGAAGGCGGCUCACUGGCCCGAUACUGACGCUGAGGUGCAAAAGCGUGGGGAGCAAACAGG